ACGAGAGUUUCGAUUUACUCCCAUGAUCAAUAAUUUGAAAUGUUGGAAUGGUCGAUUAAAAAGCCAGAAUAUUUUCAAACGUAAUUUCAUCACUUUCGAAACGUUGUCGUACAGUGUACAAUAUCCAUUGAUUGUUGUCAUCCGGGUGUUUUUCAUUAUCAAGGUCAUUUGUUUAGGGGUUCACAACAGGGAACCCAGGAUUUCGAAAUCACGAUGUGAAUUUCUUACUCCGCGAUUUUAAUUUGUUUAUCUAAGUUAAAA
rnacentral:lncRNA from 1 species